AUACGGGUUGACUUGAGGAAGGUAGGGGAGAAUGGAAUUCCUGGUGGAGCGGUGGAAUGCGCAGAUAUCAGGAGGAACACCAGUGGCGAAGGCGGUUCUCUGGGCCUUUCCUGACGCUGAGGAGCGAAAGCGUGGGGAGCGAACAGGCUUAGAUACCCUGGUAGUCCACGCUGUAAACGGUGGGUACUAGGUGUGGGGUCCAUUCCACGGGUUCCGUGCCGUAGCUAACGCUUUAAGUACCCCGCCUGGGGAGUACGGCCGCAAGGCUAAAACUCAAAGGAAUUGACGGGGCCCCGCACAAGCGGCGGAGCAUGCGGAUUAAUUCGAUGCAACGCGUAGAACCUUACCUGGGUUUGACAUGGAUCGGGAGUGCUCAGAGAUGGGUGUGCCUCUUUUGGGGUCGGUUCACAGGUGGUGCAUGGCUGUCGUCAGCUCGUGUCGUGAGAUGUUGGGUUAAGUCCCGCAACGAGCGCAACCCUUGUUCACUGUUGCCAGCACGUUAUGGUGGGGACUCAGUGGAGACCGCCGGGGUCAACUCGGAGGAAGGUGGGGAUGACGUCAAGUCAUCAUGCCCCUUAUGUCCAGGGCUUCACGCAUGCUACAAUGGCUGGUACAGAGAGUGGCGAGCCUGUGAGGGUGAGCGAAUCUCGGAAAGCCGGUCUCAGUUCGGAUUGGGGUCUGCAACUCGACCUCAUGAAGUCGGAGUCGCUAGUAAUCGCAGAUCAGCAACGCUGCGGUGAAUACGUUCCCGGGGCUUGUACACACCGCCCGUCAAGUCAUGAAAGUUGGUAACACCCGAAGCCGGUGGCCUAACCGUUGUGGGGGAGCCGUCGAAGGUGGGACUGGUGAUUAGGACUAAGUCGUAACAAGGUACCAAUCCCGCGG
rnacentral:rRNA from 1 species